rnacentral:rRNA from 1 species
UACGAACUGUGCAAACGUUAUUCGGAAUCACUGGGCUUAAAGGGUGCGUAGGCGGCUUGUUAAGUAGGGUGUGAAAUCCCCCGGCUCAACCGGGGAAUUGCGCCCUAAACUGGCGAGCUGGAGUGAGAUAGGGGUGUGUGGAACUUCCAGUGGAGCGGUGAAAUGUGUUGAUAUUGGAAGGAACGCCAGUGGCGAAAGCGACACACUGGACCGUAACUGACGCUAAUGUGCGAAAGCUAGGGGAGCAAACGGG